UAUGGCUCAGAUUGAACGCUGGCGGCAGGCCUAACACAUGCAAGUCGAACGGUAACAGGAAGCAGCUUGCUUCUUGCUGACGAGUGGCGGACGGGUGAGUAAUGUCUGGGAAACUGCCUGAUGGAGGGGGAUAACUACUGGAAACGGUAGCUAAUACCGCAUAACGUCGCAAGACCAAAGAGGGGGACCUUCGGGCCUCUUGCCAUCGGAUGUGCCCAGAUGGGAUUAGCUUGUGGUGGGGUAACGGCUCACCAGGCGACGAUCCCUAGCUGGUCUGAGAGGAUGACCAGCCACACUGGAACUGAGACACGGUCCAGACUCCUACGGGAGGCAGCAGUGGGGAAUAUUGCACAAUGGGCGCAAGCCUGAUGCAGCCAUGCCGCGUGUAUGAAGAAGGCCUUCGGGUUGUAAAGUACUUUCAGCGGGGAGGAAGGGAGUAAAGUUAAUACCUUUGCUCAUUGACGUUACCCGCAGAAGAAGCACCGGCUAACUCCGUGCCAGCAGCCGCGGUAAUACGGAGGGUGCAAGCGUUAAUCGGAAUUACUGGGCGUAAAGCGCACGCAGGCGGUUUGUUAAGUCAGAUGUGAAAUCCCCGGGCUCAACCUGGGAACUGCAUCUGAUACUGGCAAGCUUGAGUCUCGUAGAGGGGGGUAGAAUUCCAGGUGUAGCGGUGAAAUGCGUAGAGAUCUGGAGGAAUACCCGGUGGCGAAGGCGGCCCCCUGGACGAAGAC
rnacentral:rRNA from 1 species